CCGCCUCAGCCUCCCAAAGUGCUGGGAUUACAGGCGUGAGCCACGGCGUCCAGCCAAAACAAGAAACAUUUAUUUUGCCUAUUACCUGAAAAUUGGGCUGGGCUCAGUGGGGACAGCUAAUCUUCAUCCCACAUGGCAUCAGCUGGGGCAGCUCAGCUGAGGGCUGGAGGAUCCAUAUCCAAGAAGGCUCAUUCACAUGGCUGACAGAGGAUAACUUUUUUCCUCUUGUGAGUGUCAAUACUUAAUUUUGGUGUAGAGACGGGAAGCUGGAAAAUACACUAUUUAAAUUUUUCUUGGCUCUCCCUAACAUUGUGGAAACGCUCUUUCCCUAAAGACCAUGGAGUUUACCAUGAGUUGCUUAGGUUUCUUUUUACAGCAUGAUGGCUAAAUGUUACUCUUCAAGAGUAAACAUUCCAGGAGAUGGGGAGUAGAAACUGCCAGUUUUUAAAACCUCGGUUUAGAAACUGCCACAGCAACUCUUCUUUCACCAUAUUCUUUCAGUCAACCACACACAGAGCCCAGAUUCAAGGAGAGGGUACAUAGGCCCUACUUCUCAAGAGGAGUGUCAGGAAUUUUGGUGCCAUGUUUUAAAGUUUCUACAGGGUCCAAAAGCCCUCUGUGGAACCUUAGAUUUAGUAAGCUGAGAUGGAUCUUAUAGAGCUUAGAGAAAACUCUCUUGUAUAAUCAAGGGAGGCCUAGAUGACCUUCCCUCUCUUAGACUCCUCCCUGGCAAGCUAGACCAGAUCAACAGGAACACUCAAAAAGAGAAAUAAGCCAAGGAAGUUAGGAUCUCCAAGUAGCUUUGGGCCUAUUUGAUCACACUGGCAGUCACAUGGGGCCAAGCCGAGUACAUGGAAUUAAUAAAAGACACAAUACUACACUGAUGCUUGAAAAUUCAAUCCUAUUGCUUGUCCACAGUGAAAGGUCUACCACUUAGCAUCUUGAUCCUAAUUUGUCUCCAAGGAAUCCAUUUUGUCUUAGCCAUAUAUUAGUGCUCCUUGGAGGUGGCAGAGAAGCAUUGAAUUACACCUAGGGGUAAGCCACCAGAUAUGCAAUAAUAGUAUGUCCCAAUAAAUAUAUAUAGAAUAAGUGGAUGUCACCCAGUAAAGGGGCAUUUCCUAACUAUAUCCAUAGAUUGAAUCUAUAGGCUAAAUAAAUUUGAUUAAUAUCUAUUAAAUGUAUACUAUGGUGGCUCACGCCUGUAAUCCCAACACUUUGGGAGGCCAAGAUGGGUGGAUCACCUGAGCUCAGGAGUUCGAGACCAGCCUGGCCAACAUGAUGAAACCCCAUCUCUACUAAAAUACAAAUUAGCUGGGCAUUGUGGCAGGUGCCUAUAAUCCCAGCUGCUCAGGAGGCUGAGGCAGGAGAAUCACUUGAACCUGGGA
rnacentral:lncRNA from 1 species